GCCGGAGUGGUGAAAUGGGUAGACGCGCUGGACUCAAAAUCCAGUCCGGGGCGACUCGGGUGUGGGUUCGAAUCCCACCUCCGGCACCA
rnacentral:tRNA from 1 species